AUUGAACGCUGGCGGCAGGCCUAACACAUGCAAGUCGAACGAGUGGCGGACGGGUGAGUAGUGUCUGGGAAACUGCGCGAUGGAGGGGGAUAACUACUGGAAACGGUAGCUAAUACCGCAUAGCAUCGGACGUGCCCCGAUGGGAUUAGCUAGUAGGUGGGGGAACGGCUCACCUGGGCGACGAUCCCUAGCUGGUCUGAGAGGAUGACCGGCCACACUGGAACUGAGACACGGUCCAGACUCCUACGGUAGGCAGCAGUGGGGAAUAUUGCACAGUGGGCGCAAGCCUGACGCAGCCAUGCCGCGUGUAUGAAGAAGGCGUUCGGGUUGUAAAGUACUUUCAGCGAGGAGGCGUUACUCGCAGAAGAAGCACCGGCUAACUCCGUGCCAGCAGCCGCGGUAAUUC
rnacentral:rRNA from 1 species